AACGAACGCUGGCGGCAGGCUUAACACAUGCAAGUCGAACGAAGGCUUCGGCCUUAGUGGCGCACGGGUGAGUAACACGUGGGAAUAUACCUCUCAGUGGGGGAUAACGUCGGGAAACUGACGCUAAUACCGCAUACGCCUCGGGAAGAUUAUCGCUGAGAGAUUAGCCGCCGUCCGAUUAGCUAGUUGGUGAGGUAACGGCUCACCAAGGCGACGAUCGGUAGCUGGUCUGAGAGGAUGAUCAGCCACACUGGGACUGAGACACGGCCCAGACUCCUACGGGAGGCAGCAGUGGGGAAUAUUGGACAAUGGGCGAAGCCUGAUCCAGCCAUGCCGCGUGAGUGAUG
rnacentral:rRNA from 1 species